rnacentral:rRNA from 1 species
AGUGAACGCUGGCGGUAGGCCUAACACAUGCAAGUCGAACGGCAGCACAGUAAGAGCUUGCUCUUACGGGUGGCGAGUGGCGGACGGGUGAGGAAUACAUCGGAAUCUACUUUUUCGUGGGGGAUAACGUAGGUAAACUUACGCUAAUACCGCAUACGACCUACGGGUGAAAGCAGGGGAUCUUCGGACCUUGCGCGAUUGAAUGAGCCGAUGUCGGAUUAGCUAGUUGGCGGGGUAAAGGCCCACCAAGGCGACGAUCCGUAGCUGGUCUGAGAGGAUGAUCAGCCACACUGGAAAUGAGACACGGUCCAGACUCCUACGGGAGGCAACAGUGGGGAAUAUUGGACAAUGGGCGCAAGCCUGAUCCAGCCAUACCGCGUGGGUGAAGAAGGCCUUCGGGUUGUAAAGCACUUUUGUUGGGAAAGAAAAGAAGCAGGUUAAUACCCCGCUGUUCUGACGGUACCAAAAGAAUAAGCACCGGCUAACUUCGUG